GACGAACGCUGGCGGCGUGCUUAACACAUGCAAGUCGAACGAAGUGGCGAACGGGUGAGUAACGCGUAAUCAACCUGCCCUUCAGCGGGGGACAACAGUUGGAAACGACUGCUAAUACCCCAUACUGAAGGUGGGGCUUGCGUCUGAUUAGCUAGUUGGGGGGGUAAAGGCCCACCAAGGCGAUGAUCAGUAGCCGGGCUGAGAGGAUGAACGGGCACAUUGGGAAUGGGACACGGCCCAGACUCCUACGGGAGGCAGCAGGGGGGAAACUUCCGCAAUGGACGAAAGUCUGACGGAGCAACGCCGCGUGAGUGAUGACGGCCUUCGGGUUGUAAAGCUCUGUUAAUCGGGACGCGGUACCGGAAUAGAAAGCCACGGCUAACUACGUGCCAGCAGCCGCGGUAAUUC
rnacentral:rRNA from 1 species